UUUGUACUCCCUCCGUUCCGAAUUACUUGUCUUGGAUUUGUCUAGAUACGGAGGUAUCUAGACUCAUUUUAGUGCUAGAUACCUCCGUAUCUAUACAAAUCCAAGACAAGUAAUUCGGAACAGAGGGAGUAGUUG
rnacentral:pre_miRNA from 1 species